rnacentral:tRNA from 1 species
GGGCGUAUAGCUCAGUUGGUUAGAGCGCGACACUGAUAAUGUCGAGGUCCGUGGUUCAAAUCCACGUACGCCCACCA